UACGAUGACACCAGCGAUUAAUCGGCGUUAAUAUAUGACCCGAUUAGCAGCUUCCGGGAAACCAAAGUUUUUCGUUUCCUGGGGAAGUAUGGUUGCAAAGCUGAAACUUAAAGGAAUUGACGGAAGGGCACCACCAGGAGUGGAGCCUGCGGCUUAAUUUGACUCAACAUGGGAAAACUCACCCGGCCCGGACACUGUAAGGAUUGACAGACUGAAAGCUCUUUCUUAAUUCGGUGGGUGGUGGUGCAUGGCCGUUCUUAGUUGGUGGAGCGAUUUGUCUGGUUAAUUCCGAUAACGAACGAGACUCUGGCCUAUUAAAUAGACGAUAAAUUUAAAAGUUUGUCGCACUUCUUAGAGGAACAAGCGGCGUCUAGCCGCAUGAAAUAGAGCAAUAACAGGUCUGUGAUGCCCUUAGAUGUCCGGGGCUGCACGCGCGCUACACUGAAAGAAUCAGAGUGCGUUGAAACCUAGUUCGGAAGAACCGGGUAACCCAAGUAAAUUCUUUCGUGCUUGGGAUAGGGAAUUGCAAUUAUUUCCCUUAAACGAGGAAUUCCCAGUAAAUGCGGGUCAUAAGCUCGCGUUGAUUACGUCCCUGCCCUUUGUACACACCGCCCGUCGCUACUACCGAUUGGAUGACUUAGUGAGGUCUUAGGACCGAGGUCAGAGUGCUUGUCAUGAGUGCUCUCGCUUUGGAAAUUUGAUCGAACUACGUUAUCUAGAGGAAGUAAAAGUCGUAACAAGGUUUCCGUAUGUGAACCUGCGGAAGGAUCA
rnacentral:rRNA from 1 species